rnacentral:rRNA from 1 species
CGUGUAGGCGGUUUGCUAAGUCAUGUGUGAAAUCCCUCGGCUCAACCGGGGAACGACGCUUGAAACUGGCAAGCUAGAGUACCAAAGAGGGGGGUGGAAUUCCCGGUGUAGCGGUGAAAUGCGUAGAUAUUGGGAGGAACACCUGUGGCGAAGGCGGCCCCCUGGUUGGAUACUGACGCUGAGACGCGAAAGCGUGGGGAGCAAACA